rnacentral:rRNA from 1 species
AUUGAACGCUGGCGGCAUGCCUUACACAUGCAAGUCGAACGGCAGCACGGGAGCAAUCCUGGUGGCGAGUGGCGAACGGGUGAGUAAAGUAUCGGAACGUGCCCAGUCGUGGGGGAUAACGUAGCGAAAGUUACGCUAAUACCGCAUACGAUCUAUGGAUGAACGCGGGGGAUCGCAAGACCUCGCGCGAUUGGAGCGGCCGAUAUCAGAUUAGGUAGUUGGUGGGGUAAAGGCUCACCAAGCCGACGAUCUGUAGCUGGUCUGAGAGGACGACCAGCCACACUGGGACUGAGACACGGCCCAGACUCCUACGGGAGGCAGCAGUGGUGAAUUUUGGACAAUGGGCGAAAGCCUGAUCCAGCCAUGCCGCGUGCAGGAUGAAGGCCUUCGGGUUGUAAACUGCUUUUGUACGGAACGAAAAGGUUUGGCCUAAUAAGCUGAGCUCAUGACGGUACCGUAAGAAUAAGCACCGGCUAACUACGUGCCAGCCGCCGCAGUAA